rnacentral:lncRNA from 1 species
UGCACUGUGACACGUGACCUCGAUCUUUCUCAGCUAUAUUUCAGAGUAGAAAUUGCACCGCAGCUGAAAAUCUUCAGGGCAUCCUCUGACACGCUGCACCUUCAAUUUCCAGCAAAAGGUGUGCUUAAAAUAUCAGGAACAAGUGAAUGAAGCCAGCAUUGCUAAUCAUUACAAAAGGGAAAAUUGGAUCUAAUAUAUCUAAAAGGAGAUUGAAGAUGUGCUUCUACUGUUUGAUGAAGUGUCAGAGCCAUGGCGCUGUAACUCCUUCAGUGAGGAUCUUCUUAAGCCUUGUAACAACUUCACAACNGUGGUGAGAAAGUUGCAGGUGAGCCUAGGAUUCCAAAAUUAAACUGUGC